UACCAGCUCUCCGAGUGGUAGGGAUGAUUAUUGGGCUUAAAGCGUCCGUAGCCGGCUUAGCAAGUUUCCUGUUAAAUUCAGCGACCUAAUCGUUGAGCCGCGGGAAAUACUACUAGGCUAGGAGGCGGGAGAGGUCGACGGUACUUCUGGGGUAGGGGUGAAAUCCUAUAAUCCCGGGAGGACCACCAGUGGCGAAGGCUGUCGACUAGAACGCGCUCGACGGUGAGGGACGAAAGCUGGGGGAGCGAACCGGAUUAGAUACCCGGGUAGUCCCAGCUGUAAACGAUGCGGGCUAGGUGUUGGGGUGGCUACGUGCCACUUCAGUGCCGCAGGGAAGCCAUUAAGCCCGCCGCCUGGGGAGUACGGCCGCAAGGCUGAAACUUAAAGGAAUUGGCGGGGAGCACCACAAGGCGUGUAAGCUUGCGGUUC
rnacentral:rRNA from 1 species